CAUCACUGAUGAAUUUGAUAUUUUUAUAUAUUUCUGAAAUGGCAAAAAAGGAAAAAAUAUAUUUUUAUUAGUAAUACGGAAGAUGGCGUCAUCACGUGAUUAAUUCUAACCAAUGAGACUGCUGGAACUGCAUCGCUAAUGAGCUGUCAUUCCGGAUUCGACUGCACCGCCCAGUUCUGCUUCAAACCGAGAUCAUUGGUUCUGCUCUUAUUCUUUGCCAUCUAGUCCUGAUUCCUGACUACAGGUCUUAAGGAUGACCAGGAACUACAGGACGGUUUGAGCUACACUCUGCAGGACGUUGGUCCUCCAUGACCAGGACUGGACACCACUGUCCUAAAUAAACCUAAGGAGAGCCGCUCAGGCACAAGCCACUGCAUCUUUUGCUGAACAAAAAAGCGCACAAAAAGCGGCCAGGCCACAGCUUCCGAAGUGGAAACUCCUGUUAAAUCAUGGCUCCAUAAUGCAAGAGACCGGGAUGGUGGAAGGAGCAGAAGAACCAGAAGACUGGAGAUCAGGCAAAGAUCUACUGGUACCCGAGGGGAUUGAUCACUCAUCUCCAUCCACAAAUGAAUGAUUUCUGAAUGAUCAUGUGACACUGACAACUAGAUGCAGGCUGCUGAAUAUUAAGUUUUAACAUCACAGGAAAAUUUUACUUUGUAAAAUAUAUUAAAACAGUUCAGGGCUUGACAUUAAGCCUUUUCCUGUGACGAGUAAAUCGGUCAUUCACAAACUUUGUUGUAAAUACAAUUUAUUCUGCAGCAUCAGUGUUAAGGCCGGCUGUGACAUGUAUAAAUCUCCAUAUUUAUGAUAUUUUUACCUUUAUAAAGCGCAUUUUCCCCAUUAUUAAAUAAAUGCUUCAUCUUUCAUUUUAAAUUCUUAAAUUUGAUCAAUAAAUUAAAUUAGUGUAAUAAGACACUGUUACUAGUCAAAUUAAAUAAUUUACACUGAAAAAUUACAACUGCAUUUAAAAAUGUUGUGAGAUUAGAUAAUAAAAAAUGUCAGAAAGAAUGAUACUUUUAAACAUGAAACUAAACUGCCAGUAGGUGGCGGCAGGUAACUCUUAAUGAGUGAGUCAUUGAGUCAUUAAUUCAAACAAUGACAUGAAAUCAGUGUCACAUUUUCAAUUGUGAUGGAAUUCAGCACUCUUGGUCGUGCUAGUUCACCCAAAAAUGAAAAUUCUGUCAUUACUUACUCACCCUCAUGUCGUUCCACACACGCAAGAUCUUCGUUCAUCUUCAGAACACAAGAUAUUUUU